GNAGACGCUGGCGGCGUGCUUACACAUGCAAGUCGAGCGGAGNUAACCCAACGGNAAGUUUUCGGACGGAAGGUGGAAUUACUUAGCGGCGGACGGGUGAGUAACGCGUGGGCAACCUGCCCUGUACAGAGGAAUAACAUUGGGAAACCAGUGCUAAUACCUCAUAUACCCUUCGGGUGGCAUCACCUGAAGGGGAAAGAUUUAUCAGUAUAAGAUGGGCCCGCGUCUAAUUAGCUAGUUGGUAAGGUAACGGCUUACCAAGGCGACGAUUAGUAGCCGACCUGAGAGGGUGAUCGGCCACACUGGAACUGAGACACGGUCCAGACUCCUACGGGAGGCAGCAGUGGGGAAUAUUGCACAAUGGGCGCAAGCCUGAUGCAGCAACGCCGCGUGAGUGAUGAAGGCCUUCGGGUCGUAAAACUCUGUUAUAAGGGAAGAAACCAGUGACGGUACCUUAAGAGAAAGCCCCGGCUAACUACGUGCCAGCAGCCGCGGUAAUACGUAGGGGGCAAGCGUUAUCCGGAAUCACUGGGCGUAAAGGGUGCGUAGGCGGUUUUUUAAGUCAGAGGUGAAAGGCUACGGCUCAACCGUAGUAAGCCUUUGAAACUGGAAGACUUGAGUGCAGGAGAGGAGAGUGGAAUUCCUAGUGUAGCGGUGAAAUGCGUAGAUAUUAGGAGGAACACCCAGUGGCGAAGGCGACUCUCUGGACUGCAACUGACGCUGAUGCACGAAAGCGUGGGGAGCGAACAGGAUUAGAUACCCUGGUAGUCCACGCCGUAAACGAUGAGUGCUAGG
rnacentral:rRNA from 1 species